GGUGACAGAUCCAGCUUGCUGGAUGCUGACGAGCGGCGGACGGGUGAGUAAUGCAUAGGAAUCUGCCCGAUAGUGGGGGAUAACCUGGGGAAACCCAGGCUAAUACCGCAUACGUCCUACGGGAGAAAGGGGGCUCCGGCUCCCGCUAUGGGAUGAGCCUAUGUCGGAUUAGCUAGUUGGUGAGGUAACGGCUCACCAAGGCCACGAUCCGUAGCUGGUCUGAGAGGAUGAUCAGCCACAUCGGGACUGAGACACGGCCCGAACUCCUACGGGAGGCAGCAGUGGGGAAUAUUGGACAAUGGGGGCAACCCUGAUCCAGCCAUGCCGCGUGUGUGAAGAAGGCCCUCGGGUUGUAAAGCACUUUCAGCGAGGAAGAACGCCUAGCGGUUAAUACCCGCUAGGAAAGACAUCACUCGCAGAAGAAGCACCGGCUAACUCCGUGCCAGCAGCCGCGGUAAUACGGAGGGUGCAAGCGUUAAUCGGAAUUACUGGGCGUAAAGCGCGCGUAGGUGGCUUGAUAAGCCGGUUGUGAAAGCCCCGGGCUCAACCUGGGAACGGCAUCCGGAACUGUCAAGCUAGAGUGCAGGAGAGGAAGGUAGAAUUCCCGGUGUAGCGGUGAAAUGCGUAGAGAUCGGGAGGAAUACCAGUGGCGAAGGCGGCCUUCUGGACUGACACUGACACUGAGGUGCGAAAGCGUGGGUAGCAAACAGGAUUAGAUACCCUGGUAGUCCACGCCGUAAACGAUGUCGACCAGCCGUUGGGUGCCUAGCGCACUUUGUGGCGAAGUUAACGCGAUAAGUCGACCGCCUGGGGAGUACGGCCGCAAGGUUAAAACUCAAAUGAAUUGACGGGGGCCCGCACAAGCGGUGGAGCAUGUGGUUUAAUUCGAUGCAACGCGAAGAACCUUACCUACUCUUGACA
rnacentral:rRNA from 2 species